UACGGAGGGUGCGAGCGUUACUCGGAAUCACUGGGCGUAAAGGGUGCGUAGGCUGUCUUUUAAGUCAGAUGUGAAAUCCAAUGGCUUAACCAUUGAACUGCAUUUGAAACUGAAAGCCUAGAGUUCAGAAGGGGCAGAUGGAAUUAGAGGUGUAGGGGUAAAAUCCGUAGAGAUCACUAGGAAUAUCAAAAGCGAAGGCGAUCUGCUGGGAUGAUACUGACGCUGAGGCGCGAAAGCGUGGGGAGCAAACAGG
rnacentral:rRNA from 1 species